rnacentral:tRNA from 1 species
GGAGAGAUGGCCGAGCGGCUGAAGGCGCACGCCUGGAAAGUGUGUAUACGGCAACGUAUCGAGGGUUCGAAUCCCUCUCUCUCCG